AUAAAUUAAUUCUUUUUCCUCCCUCUUGAAAAGUUCUUAAAUUUUUUUCUUCCUUUCCUUUUGAGUAGUAAUUCGUCGUGAAGAGUUGGUAUAGGGUUUGGUAAAGCAACAGUGAAAAAGGUGAUUAGAGGCGGCGCCACUUUUGAAGAACGCUUUCAAUUUUAGGUGUAAAAGACUCCAAGAAAUAGUGGCUCUUAUAAUUGCAUGCGCUUUGGUUCAUGAUUCAUCAUUUUCAGUCAAACAAAGCCCAUCUACUUUCUACCGUUCCUCUUUCUUCUUCAUGUUCCUCCCCUCCAUCAUUAUGUUUUUUUUUUUGUUUCCCCGUUACAUUUUGCUAUGACCCAGUUCCUUUGAAUUUGAAACUACAAACAUGCACUCCAGGUGUUUGUAUAAAUGCCGCACUGCCUCUGCCACUUCCAAUUCUCCUUGUUUUGUAUCAAUUCUUGUGGAAAAAACUUUCUCAUUUCAUUUGAAAUGGAGAAAUUCCUUGUCGGGUUAGUUUCGACCGCCCACGAAACGCAUAACAAUCUGGACACCUGCACGCGGAUAGAAAGACCCUAUGAAACUUCACUGUCCCUAAUAUUGGCUUUGGGCAAGAAGGCAAGGAUGCUAUAUUUGGCUCUGAAUAGUGAUCCCCUUAAUGGAGGAGAUGAUUAAUUCUGAUAUCAAUGAGCUUAAAAUUGCUGCCACCAAGCUUGGUGGAAAGGGCCUUGAAGAGCUUAAAAUUGCAGCCACCAAGCUUGGUGGAAAGGGCCUUGAUACUUCUUUGCUGCCAUGUGAGUGCUUUGUAAUGCAAGGGCUUGUUUGGGUUCAUCUGCUCCAGACACAGUUUGUGAGCUUCUAAAUAUCAUGUUUCUAACAUCAUUAUGUAGUUACUUGUUGAUUUUUGAUCUCACAAACUGGAGAACUAACAUGCUUAUUACUUUUCUCUGCUUGUCCGACCUAUUGAGAACGGAUGCUGGGAAAUGGAUUGGCUUCGUUGCAGUGGUGUUGAGGCUCUUCUUUCCACGACGUUUUCCAGGUUAGCAUCGUGGUCCUCUGUUUAGUUUUCCAUCACUUCUUGUUCAUCAGUGUACUGUUGUUGUGUAUGAUAAAGAGUUGUUUUGGAUUCUUAUUCUUUUAUCAUGCAUUUGAAUCCUACACUACAAAAAGGCAUUUGUGAUCCGUAUUAACUUCAACCUUAUUAUUUCUUGAUGGAACUCAGAUCCCACGUCAUUAGUAGAGUAGAACUAAACAUUCUUUAUAAAGGUCUGGAAAUCUCUCUCUAUCAGACACGUUUUUAAUGGUAAUAGAGUCAGACACCGGGCAGUGUGCCAACAGGGACGCUGGCCCCCAAGAAAGAUGGAUCGUGGGAACUCAUAUCGUUUGUUUGGAGGGUGAAACUAAACAUUUCAUAUAAGGGCGUGGAAACUUCUCCUUAGGACACACGUUUCAGUAGUGUGCCAACAAAGACGCUAGCCCCAAGGAAGAUGGAUCGUGAGAUCCCUACAUCAGUUGGAGAAUAGAACUAAACAUUUCUUAUAAAAGUGUAGAAAUCUCCUCCUAGAAGACUCGUUUUAGCGGUGCGUCAGCGGGGACGCUGGGCCUUGAGGAAGAUGGAUCAUGAAAUCCCACGUCUGUUGGAGAGUAGAACUAAGUAUUUUUGUAUAAGGGUGUAAGAACCUCUCCUAAAAGACACGGUCUGAAACAAUAAUAACGGGCUAAUGCCUACAAUAUUUACUGGCUAUAGAUUUGGAUUCUUACAAAUUCAUUGUUUUUUAUAAAUUACUGAAGAGUAAUUGUCAGAAGUUUUAAAUUUUAUUCUAAAUUUUAAUAUUUAG